rnacentral:rRNA from 1 species
UACGGGGGGGGCAAGCGUUGUUCGGAAUUACUGGGCGUAAAGGGCUCGUAGGCGGCCAACUAAGUCGGAUGUGAAAUCCCCAGGCUUAACCUGGGAACUGCAUCCGAUACUGGAUGGCUUGAAUCCGGGAGAGGGAUGAAGAAUUCCAGGUGUAGCGGUGAAAUGCGUAGAUAUCUGGAGGAAUACCGGUGGCGAAGGCGGCAUCCUGGACCGGCAUUGACGCUGAGUGAGCGAAAGCUAGGGGAGCAAACGGG